rnacentral:rRNA from 1 species
GUCUAUAGGCACGCCACCCUGAACAAGCCCGAUCCCGUCUGGUCUCGGAAGCUUAGCAGGGUCGGGCCUGGUGAGUACUUGGAUGGGAGACCACCUAGGAAGACCAGGAGCUGUAGGUA